rnacentral:rRNA from 1 species
ACGGAAGGAGCAGUGGGGAAUAUUGGACAAUGGGCGAAAGCCUGAUCCAGCGACGCCGCGUGAGUGAAGAAGUAUUUCGGUAUGUAAAGCUCUAUCAGCAGGGAAGAUAAUGACGGUACCUGACUAAGAAGCACCGGCUAAAUACGUGCCAGCAGCCGCGGUAAUACGUAUGGUGCAAGCGUUAUCCGGAUUUACUGGGUGUAAAGGGUGCGUAGGUGGCAUGGCAAGUCAGAAGUGAAAACACGGGGCUCAACCCCGUGACUGCUUUUGAAACUGUCAAGCUAGAGUGCAGGAGAGGAAAGCGGAAUUCCUAGUGUAGCGGUGAAAUGCGUAGAUAUUAGGAGGAACACCAGUGGCGAAGGCGGCUUUCUGGACUGUAACUGACACUGAGGCACGAAAGCGUGGGGAGCAAACAGGAUUAGAUACCCUGGUA